CUGAAUCUAAAAAAAUGUCUCUUAAAAAAUAAGAGAUCAACCCACAUCUAAAAAGAAAAAAUAGACGGGAGCUGCCCUCCCUCUCCUAGGUCUCGCUCUUUCUUUCACGCCUCCAUUUUUUUCUUUCUCAUCCCCGCACACAAGAACCUCCCUCCAGAUCUACUGAGAAGUUGUGUUCCCUCCCCAUCAUCGCAAUCGACGGCUUCAUCUCCGCCUCCAGCUUCAUCGUCGAUGUCCUCUCCGACACCUGCACAUCCGAAGAUUUCUACAAGUAAACUUUUCGUCCUCUCUCUUCUCAUGCUAUGUAAUCUUUGCUCUAUUUAAUCAGAAGGUUUGUAUAUUUCAUAUGCAAGUCUCGAUGAUUUGAUUUCACAGAAAAGUUGCUUCUUUUUUUUUUCUUUUUCUUUUUAUGUUAACUAAAAUCAAAUGUGUAUAUGUUUUAUAAAUCAGAAAUCUAAUCAGACUUGCCCCUAUUUAUCUUGGUAUUUUUUUUUGAAAUCAAACCUUUGAAUGUGGCUAAAAUCUGAAAUCUGAUUAUAUUGUUUGAUAUGCUUGAAAUAUGAUGUUAUGUUGUUAAAUAAAAUAUGAGAAAUCAGAGUUACCUCGAAUCAGAGUUGCCUCUAUUAUUUGAUAUGAUGUUAAUGAUGUUAUGAAAUCUAAUAAAUCAUAAAAUAUUUUGUUAAAUGAUGUUAUGGAAUCAUAAAAUAUGAUGUCAAAUAAUGUUAUGAAAUCUGAUAAAUCAGAAAUGAUAUUAUGAUGUUUAAUGUUGCUGAAAAUAUGCAUUUAUUUUGCUUGAAUGUUGCUGAAAUAUGUAUUUGUUUGUUGAAUUGAUCAAAGACAUGAGAGAAAACUCGUCAAGCAUAAGGGGGAGAAAGUGAUGACCAAAACAUACAUGAUAUGAAAUGGGGUUCAGAAGGCAACGAAUAUAUGACUAAUUUGUGUAACCAAAUUGCAAAUCAGUUGUGGUUAAAUGCUUAAAAUUAAAUUUGUAGGAUUUUGUUUGGAUUUCAGUAUGAUUUGUGGAUUUAAAAAUAUUUAUGUUUGAUUUGAAUUUGUGUUUAAUUUUGAUUAAUGCUCAAUUUGGAUUUUAUAUGGUGUUUAUAUUUUUUUAUAGAUAUUUAAGAAAUUGAUUCGGUUAUUUUAU
rnacentral:lncRNA from 1 species